rnacentral:rRNA from 1 species
CAAUAGCGUAUAUUAAAGUUGUUGCGGUUAAAACGCUCGUAGUUUGAAAUCUGUUAAGGACGAUCUGUCUGCCCUCUGGGUGUGUAUUUGGUCUAGCCUUGGCAUUUCCUUGAACAAGACAACUGCACUUGAUUGUGUGGUGUUGAUUUCAAGGUGUUUACUUUGAGGAAAUCAGAGUGCUUCCAGCAGGUGUGCGCCUUGAAUACAUUAGCAUGGAAUAUCAUUAUAUGGUUUGGAUUUUUACUUGUUUUUUUUUAAAAUUGAAGCAAUGAUAAAUAGGGAUAAUUGGGGGCACUUGUAUUUAAUUGUCAGAGGUGAAAUUCUUGGAUUUGUGAAAGACAAACUACUGCGAAAGCAUUUGCCAAAAAUGUUUUCAUUGA